rnacentral:rRNA from 1 species
AAUCAACGCUGGCGGCGUGCCUAACACAUGCAAGUCGAACGCGAAAGUUCCUUCGGGAAUAAGUAGAGUGGCGUCCGGGUGAGUAACGCGUGGGUAAUCUACCUUCGGGUGGGGAAGUAACCCACGGGAAACUUGGGCUAAUACCGCAUAAUGCAGCGGCUCGACAUCGAGACAGUUGUUAAAGCAGCAAUGCGCCUGAAGAGGAGCCUGCGUCUGAUUAGCUAGUUGGAAGGUAAUGGCUUACCAAGGCUGCGAUCAGUAGCUGGUCUGAGAGGACGGCCAGCCACAAUGGC